UUUCCUUUCCAUUUUCCUGAGCGGAUUUCUCGCGAUUACAGCUAUAUUAUAUGGUUUCCGAUUUUACCUUCAAUCAAGUAUCUAGUCUCAACCUUGUCCCCAUACGUUCACUAUUACCAUUUUCCGAAUUCGGAAACUUUGAACCAUGAAGCUAUAAAACCGAGUUCCUACAAUCCGUCUCAACAUCCUCAUAACCCCACUCGUUCACCAUUCUAAAAUCACCUUCGAUACCAUCUUUUUCUCACGAAACCGAAACCACCAUCACCUUUGUUACACUAACAGGACUUGACACGAUCACCAACGAUUCCAAUAGAAAAACCCUCUUCCGGUUAGUAUACGACUCACCGGAGAAUCCAGACGACUUACCGGAGAGACACGGAGAUCGACGGAAGCCGUUUUGCUAUGUUCGGAGUUCGUCGGAGACAUUCGGAGAAGACGAUCAGAACCUUGCGGCCCUUCUCUCUCGUUCGAAUCGUCAUCUUCUCACCGGAUUUUCAACAUUGAAUCAAGAUCAAAGAUCCGCCUAUAUAUCUUGAAGUUUUCUAUUUGCAAUUGAGGUUUUGUUUUGAUCAAAGUUGGGUUAUGCAAGGUAAAUGGGGGAUAUCUACAAAUUUUGAUGGCACACGGCUUUUCAUUUAACGACAAUUUUGAUCAGAUACUGACAUUUAAGGAAAAAAUCUUAAUACAAUGUUGGGUAGAAGAUGCUGGAGAAUGAACUUAAGCGUAAUUUGGAUGCCGUUUAUGAUGUGGAUUUAUGUUCUUCUCAGUCUUCCACUAAACCGCGUAUGGGUGAUUGUGAGAACAAU
rnacentral:lncRNA from 1 species